UGAUCCUGGCUCAAACAAACGCUGGCGGCGUGCCUAACACAUGCAAGUCGUACGAGAAAGGGUCCUUCGGGACCUGAGUAAAGUGGCGCACGGGUGAGUAACGCGUGGAUAAUUGCCCUUCAGUUGGGAAUAACUCAUCGAAAGGUGGGCUAUACCGAAUAAUACUGCGAGACUUUGGUUGAGCAGUCAAAGAGAGCCUCUGCUGCAAGCCCUCGCUGAAGGAUGAGUCCGCGUACCAUUAGCUAGUUGGUAGGGUAAUGGCCUACCAAGGCGACGAUGGUUAGCUGGUCUGAGAGGAUGAUCAGCCACACUGGAACUGAGACACGGUCCAGACUCCUACGGGAGGCAGCAGUGAGGAAUCUUGCGCAAUGGGGGAAACCCUGACGCAGCAACGCCGCGUGAGUGAGGAAGGUCUUCGGAUCGUAAAGCUCUGUCAGAUGGAAAGAACCGCAUGGGGGAUAAACAGUCCCUAUGUCUGACGGUACCAUCAGAGGAAGCACCGGCUAACUCCGUGCCAGCAGCCGCGGUAAUACGGGGGGUGCAAGCGUUGUUCGGAAUUAUUGGGCGUAAAGAGCGUGUAGGCGGCCUGAUGUGUCAGAUGUGAAAGCCCUGGGCUCAACCCAGGAAGUGCAUUUGAAACUGUCAGGCUUGAGUAGGGGAGAGGGAAGUGGAAUUCCUGGUGUAGAGGUGAAAUUCGUAGAUAUCAGGAGGAACACCGGUGGCGAAGGCGACUUCCUGGCCCUAUACUGACGCUGAGACGCGAGAGCGUGGGUAGCAAACAGGAUUAGAUACCCUGGUAGUCCACGCCGUAAACGAUGUUCACUAGGUGUUGGGGGUAUUGACCCCCUCAGUGCCGGAGCUAACGCAUUAAGUGAACCGCCUGGGGAGUACGGUCGCAAGACUAAAACUCAAAGGAAUUGACGG
rnacentral:rRNA from 1 species